GCCAUCUCUUUUGCCCACAUGGAUGGGUAAAAAAACGUAAACAAACUGUGUAACUGAUGUGAAUUACAAGUGCUCAAUUUUGUUUAUUAGUUUGUCAAUGAAAAUCAACAGAAUAUGGGUACACGUGUUACUUUAUCAAUAGCUCAAAGGUUUAAGAUUACUGUGCAACGCAUAGGCUCACCGUUCAAAGCGACCGCACGCUCGCAGCAGUGCGAGAAUUUUUCCAAACAAAACCUCCGGCGGCAGAUUAACAAAAUAUGAUGCUGUGCCGCCGUAGGAGAUAAUUUGGAAGUUCCUUUCCACUGGCAUCGCCACCACACAGCACGUGCUAGUCACACAGACAGAUCGUAAUUGGCGCGGUGGCAUCACUCAAGAAAGAUUUUGGUGGGCCAGUUUUGUAGGAGAAUUGGAACGACAACAAACAGCUGUGCACAUCUUUAAGAUCCUCAGCGAGGAUUUGCAACUAUUUUUGGUCCUUUUUUCAUGUUUGAAGCGGGAGAUAGAGUUUGUUCACAUAAUAGAAUGUUUAAUAAAUAACAAAAUAAAACAAUAA